UUGCUUUGGCAGCAUGUAUAUUGAAAUUGGAAAGAUGCAGAGAAGAUUAGCACGGCUCUUGUGCAAGGAUGACAUGCAAAUUUGUGGAGAAAAAAAUUUAAUU
ensembl:snRNA U6 U6 spliceosomal RNA